UUUCAUUUUCAUUAAAUCAAUCUUUGUCCAUGGUAUUAUUCAUAUUCCUCUGAUUCACCACUCGUUCGUACUCGUACCACACCGUGGGAAGGUUCUGGCCAAGAAUGAGCUGGAGGUUAUUGCUUUGGCGACGCCGAAGGCCGUUCACGCGAAGAGGAGAUGUGCCUGGUGACGAGAAGUCUUAGACCACCGGUGAGUUUUGCUUCCUAUCAAUUCAGCAGUGUGUGUACAUGUUCAGAAUUGUUGGCUACAAACACUUGAAUUAUCUCCAAUCAUGUACUUCAGGUUCUACCAUCUUCCAUAUUUACCAUGUUUUGUCACUUAACAAAAUUUACAUAACUAUUUUGUGUAUGUAUGCAAAAUUCUGGUUUAGAAACUUAAUGCAGAAUUAUGAACAAAAUUAUCAUUCAGUAUUAAGAAUUUACAUUUAUCAUAAGAAAUGGCAAACUCAUAGGUAUUUCAAUCUAGAAAUUACAAUGCAAUGUUCAGGGAAGAUGGCGAGCUUCUAAUUAGCGGUAAUUUUAUUCUGUUGAAACCGAAAGAUAUGGAUGAGCCAUGAUAAUGAGUGUUAGGGGAUUGGACGGCACGACGUAAAAAGAUAUCAUUUUUACUAAAUAACUUCAUUUUCCGCAGAAACUUCCUUGCACUAAACUUACAAUAUUGGCUUCUCCAGAUGUACAUAAGCUAUUAGCUCUUAGCUCUAUUUAAUUCCACUCAUAUUUACGAAAGUGCUCUUUUGAUCCCGAGUUCACAAUCUCCCUGAUGAACAGUAAAAUCCAAAAAAUUAGUUAAAGAAUUCAAAAAAAUUCUGGAUUUAAACAUCGAUGAACGUUUUAACUUCCUGCAAAUUUUUGUGAUGAAAUAACAUUGGUGGAGGUCUGGACAAAAAGAAAAAAAUCGAUGCUCCAAAAUGCUUCCGAGAACAAAUCUUUUGGAGCGUCGAUUUUUUUUGCCCAGACCUACACGAGAUCGCAGGUGAUAUAAUUCAUGUUUGCUUUGUUGUUUCAGUAACUUCCUGUAGCAUAUUGGUUCCAUCUUUUUUUUGCAUCAUGGUACAUUAUUCUCAUCUUGAUAUAUAUCAUUUGGUCAACUGAAGAUUUGAGUGCAGGGUAGAAUUCUUGGUUGAUUUUAGAAUUUCGUUGUUGAUUAGUUGGCCAACGGACUUUUAUGAAAUUCAAGGCGUCAUUUAGUGUACUAUAUGUCAUAUUUGUCUUAUUUCUAUACUCACAAUAUUUCCGCAUCAUCUGAACAAAUGAUGCUAAAUUGAUAUAAUCAUUUUGGAUCAGUGUCAUCUUCUCAAUGCUGAACAGCCAAAAUAUAUACAUAGUGAGCAUUCCGCCGCACAUGCUCAUACGUCAUAUUUAUGUACUGUUUAACACGGCAAAAAUUGGUCAAACAUUUAAACAUUUCUACUGUUUAACACAACCAAAGUAUAUACAUAAUGAUCAGCCCUUCGCUGCACGUUAGAUCCAGCCUCCCUCCCUUGACACCAUUCUUCUUACUUAUUAUUAUUAUUUUAAAAAUAUCUUUAGUUUUAUUUUCUAGCUACUUCAAUUCAUUUGUAUAUGGUUAGUUCCAUCGCACUACGAGGAUGAUCCAUGGCUGGUCGCGGACGAUCACCUGCGAGGAGGAUUCAUGGCCGGUUGGGGAUGGUCAGUUCCAUCACACUGCGAGGAGAUGAUUCAUGGUCAGUCGGGGAUGGUCACCUGCGGUGAGCACGAGUACCUCCUCCAUAUCCUCCCUAUACUAGCACCCUUGGCGAUGAAAAUGACAGCCAGGAGAAUCCCUCCUUCACACCUCUUUUCCAUCUCUGUCAGAUUGUCCUCUCCAGCAAGGUGUCUAUGCAUGAAUCAUAUUUAUGAUUUCUUUGCAUUUUUAACAAUUAAUAUAGAUUUUUGUACCCACAGCCCGAAGGCCAACCUUAAUACUGGACCUCGAAAGGGGCAUGUGGCCAACCAUGCCGGAGGACGCAGAGGGUUGUUUGGGAAUGUUAUCAUGAGAGGACCCAAGAAGCAACCCACCACGGAUGCAUGGACCAACCACGCAAGUCCAUUCUUGCAAUCCAUCUGUGGCGAGGGUUCAUGACAGACAAGCCAAUAGAUUUGGGGGUCCACUUCCUAGUGAAACAAAUGUUCAUUGCGGACAAUACGAAGACGAUGAUUGGUACAAUGAGGUGAAUAUAUUAGAAUUUUUAUUCUUCUCUCUCCAUGUCUAUGUUUGUGCUUGAUCAACUGUCCACUUAAUGAUUUUAGUUGUACAAAGUCCUAAGCUGGUCUCACUAGGUCGUACCCAGUGGCGGAGACAGGGGGGACCAGCAGGGGCCCUGGCCCCCCCUAACACCAUGAUUUUGCAUGUAAUUUGCUAUGAACAGUGGCAAAAUUAGUACUAAUUUGCUGCUAAAAAUCUAUUUUUCAAUA